rnacentral:misc_RNA from 1 species
AUGAAUAAACUUGGUCGAGCUGUUGCUGGUCUUUCGGGACAUGUGCACGCUUGCCACCAAUUUUAAUCCCCUGUGCACUUUUUGUAGACUUAGAAACGCCUUCUCGAGGCAACUCGGAUUGAGAACUGCUGUGCGCAAGCCGGCUGUUCUUGUGUUUCUUAGUCUAUGUCUUCAUAUUCUCCAAACGUUGUAUCAGAAUGUAUUGCUAGGCCUUUAGCGCCUUUAAAUCAAAUA